GGCUCGGUGGUGGAUGGUCCGCACCUGCAGAUAUUGAUGGUUCAGAUUCAACCGUUUGAGCAGGGAUCCCUCGUUCGAUUCGAGGCCGAGCCA